GAAAGUUGCAGAAGAUUUGCUUUGACCUCAAAGUACAUUCUUUGUUUCCCUGGUGAUAAAGACCUCAGUCAUAGGACAACUGGGUAAACUGAAGUAGCCAAUUCUGCAAAGGAAGGUGGACUUUGCUUUCCAGUUCAGGAUCUUUUAUUACUGGUACUAUUAAGGCAAUCUUGGCAAAGUCUCAUUCAUAUUUAUUUAUGAACUGUGUUCUUGGCUAGAUAAGAGG
rnacentral:lncRNA from 1 species